GCCAAAAACCUAGCCCGAUUCACCCACAUACCACCCUCUCCUCCACCACUCACCAUAAAACAUUUUUUCAUCUUAGUAAAGGCGAUUAAAAGGAAAUUAGAAGCUUUAUAUCUAGUACCGCAAGGGAAAAGUGAAAUAACAAUGAAAUACCACUAAGCACAACAAAGCAAAGAUUUAACCUUGUACCUUUUGCAUCAUGGUCUUACAAGUCUAACCAAGCAAAAUGAACUUUAAGUUUGACCCCCCGAAACUAGACGAGCUACUUCAAAACAGCUCAUCGAGCCAACCCGUCCCUGUUGCAAAAGAGUGGGAAGAUUUUCAAGUAGAGGUGAUAAACCUACCGAGCCUAGAGAUAGCUGGUUACCCAGAAAAAAGGAUAUUAGUCCCACCUUAAAUCUCCCUAUUACCCAUAUAAUACACCAACAGAUUUAAAGAGCUAUUCAAAUACGUACAACUUUAAUUUGAAAUAGGUUACAACUACACACAGCUAUGAGAUUCAAUACGAUCAGUUGGCCUACUAGCAGCCAUCUUUUAUAAAGCGGUUAAGCUACAUCGCACUAAACAUUAAUCCCAAUCAACACUCAAAACCCUUCAUUAGUACUGAGUGACUCCAUAACUCUAUGGAAAACCUUCUGUUAGAACUAGUAACAAGAAAUAGACUUCUCCAACAAUGUAAGUGUAACCCAAAAUGAACCAAUCAUUGGCACUCACCGUUCAUGAAUACAUAGUAUUAACACAACAUGAAAACCCUACUAACUCAAACGUUAACCUUACACCAGAACCUUUCAGGAAAGAUUAAAAAACAUGGAAGGAACUCGGCAAAUAAUAACCCCGCCUGUUUACCAAAAACAUCGCCUCCUGUUACCUAUAGGAGGUCCAGCCUGCCCAGUGAACUAAAUUAAACGGCCGCGGUACCCUAACCGUGCAAAGGUAGCACAAUCACUUGUUCUUUAAAUAAGGACUAGUAUGAACGGCAUCACGAGGGUUAUACUGUCUCCCCUGUUCAAUCAGUGAAACUAAUCCCCCCGUGAAGAAGCGGGGAUACUUUUAUAAGACGAGAAGACCCCAUGGAGCUUUAAACCCAGUAUCACUUGCAUCCAUUUCACCAUAUUAAUAAGCAAACCUGACUACUAGUUUUUGGUUGGGGUGACCACGGAGCAAAACAAAACCUCCAUGACGAAUAGAACUACUUCUAAUCAAAGAGCUACAACUCGCAGAAUCAACAUAUUGACUAAAAUUGACCCAAUAAUUUUGAACAACGAACCAAGUUACCCUGGGGAUAACAGCGCAAUCCAUUUCAAGAGCCCCUAUCGACAAAUGGGUUUACGACCUCGAUGUUGGAUCAGGGUGUCCAAGUGGUGCAGCCACUACUAAAGGUUCGUUUGUUCAACGAUUAAA
rnacentral:rRNA from 1 species